rnacentral:rRNA from 1 species
UGCGUAGGCGGAAUAAUAAGUCAGUGGUGAAAUCCUGUGGCUCAACCACAGAACUGCCAUUGAUACUGUUAUUCUUGAAUAUAGUUGAGGUGGGCGGAAUGUGUAAUGUAGCGGUGAAAUGCUUAGAUAUUACACAGAACACCGAUUGCGAAGGCAGCUUGCUAAACUAUUAUUGACGCUGAGGCACGAAAGCGUGGGGAGCGAACAGGAUUAGAUACCCUGGUAGUCC